CCUAAUCAGGGAGGCGCCCCGCUGCCUUUUCAGCGGCCCUGGUGCAGGCUUUUCCUUCUCGGGCCCUUACCGACGAACCUAAAUUCGGUAUUAAGCAAAAGGGAUACCGGUAACCCCGCAAUCUUUGUGCACGAAGCCCGGGCGAAGACGCAGGACAGCAAACUGCAGUCAGAACCGCCGAGAAGGGAUGGACACAUGCGAGCCGAAUAAAGGGACCGAUUACUGCUGCUGCUGCCGAAGACCCCUGGAGAAUAACCAGCCAACCCGGAGAUCUUAAGGUCACAUUUAAACGGACUUAAUGGACUCAGUAAAAAUUGUACAAACCA